rnacentral:lncRNA from 1 species
GACUCCUGAUAUCAAGUGAUCUUCCCGCCUCGGCCUCCCAGAGUGCUGAGAUUACAGACGUGAACCCAUGCCUGGCCAGGAAUUUUGUUUUUUAGGAAGGCUUUCUACUAAUGGAAUUCCUGGCCUUGAGAGGAUGUUACUUUAGAAGGAAAGGAUUUUUUUGUUAUUAAAAGAGCCACCUAAGCUGAAGAUUCCCUUGAGAACAAGUACUGUCCCUGGUUUCCCAGUGCUGGAAUAUAGAAAAUGGAUGGACAACUGGACCUACCAUGAAAGACUUCUGAAUCCAGGAAGAGAAACUGACUGGGCAACAUGUUAUUCAGAUGGGGUCUUCUUAUGUUGCCCAGGUUGGUCUCAAAUUCCUAGGCUCAAGUGAUUCCGCCCACCUCUGCCUCCCAAAGUGCUGGGAUUACGGGCAUGAGCCAGCGCAUCUGGCCACCUUAUUUUCUAUUACUGGCUCAAUGUAAUGGCUCCAUCUCAGGAACAGCCAAUGAAAGAGAUGCACAGGACAAGGUGGACAGUCUAGUUGCAGGAAAACAAGCUCAGAGAUCCCACUGAGUCUACGUUAUACUGGAUCUACCAUGAAAGACUUGUGAAUCCAGGAAGAGAGACUGACUGGGCAACAUGUUAUUCAGGUGGGAACAUCCAGUUGCGGGAAAACAAGCUUAACACGCCCACUGAUUCUACAUUAUGCUCCUACCUCCCGGCAGCCUCUCCAGGCCCAGAACUUUCUCCAGUCAGCCUCUACAGACCAAGCUCAUGACUCACAAUGGCCUAUUUAGGCCCAUACCCUACGUCACGGCAGCCUCCGCAGAUGAGCCUACUGCCUCACAACAGCCUCCACAGGCACAGCUCCAUCGUUACAAUGGCCUCUUUAGACCCAGCUCCUGCCUCCCAGCCUUCUCUCCAGGCUCUGAACUUUCUCAGUAAGUUCAGGUAGCUGGGACUGUAGGGUCUCCCUCUGUUGUCCAAGGCUGGAGUGUAGUAGUGCUA